UGAGUAAUGUCUGGGAAACUGCCCGAUGGAGGGGGAUAACUACUGGAAACGGUAGCUAAUACCGCAUAACGUCUUCGGACCAAAGUGGGGGACCUUCGGGCCUCACACCAUCGGAUGUGCCCAGAUGGGAUUAGCUAGAAGGUGGGGUAUGUGGCUCACCUAGGCGACGAUCCCUAGCUGGUCUGAGAGGAUGACCAGCCACACUGGAACUGAGACACGGUCCAGACUCCUACGGGAGGCAGCAGUGGGGAAUAUUGCACAAUGGGCGCAAGCCUGAUGCAGCCACGCCGCGUGUAUGAAGAAGGCCUUCGGGUUGUAAAGUACUUUCAGUGGGGAGGAAGGCGUUAAGGUUAAUAACCUUGGCGAUUGACGUUACCCGCAGAAGAAGCACCGGCUAACUCCGUGCCAGCAGCCGCGGUAAUACGGAGGGUGCAAGCGUUAAUCGGAAUUACUGGGCGUAAAGCGCACGCAGGCGGUCUGUCAAGUCGGAUGUGAAAUCCCCGGG
rnacentral:rRNA from 1 species